UUUUUUUAUCUUCCCCCAUCAACGCACCCCCCCUCCCCAGGAAGAAAAAAAAAAGAGGAAGAUCCUGUCUUUAUGUUGUGCUGCCCGGAGACCUUUGAGGUCUUCCCGUCCUUUGUUUCUUCUUUUAUUUUUAAAUGUAUAACUUGAUGGGUCUCAACAGCACAACCGGAGCCAACCAGCCCAAUGUCUCCUGUACAUGCAACUGCAAACGAUCUUUGUUUCAAAGUAUGGAGAUCACGGAGUUGGAGUUCGUACAGAUAAUCAUAAUCGUGGUGGUAAUGAUGGUUAUGGUGGUUGUCAUCACGUGUCUACUGAAUCACUACAAACUCUCUGCACGUUCCUUCAUCAAUCGGCACAGCCAAGGGCGGAGGAGAGAGGAAAACCUAUCGUCAGAAGGAAGUUUGUGGCCUUCAGAAAGCACAGUGUCAGGAAACGGCGUGACAGAGCAGCAAGUCUACACGCCGAGACCUUCGGACAGAUUAACUGUCCCAUCCUUCUUGCAGAGGGACCGUUUUAACAGAUUCCAACCAACGUAUCCUUACAUGCAGCACGAAAUUGACCUGCCGCCCACCAUCUCUCUGUCGGACGGAGAAGAGCCCCCGCCGUACCAGGGGCCCUGCACGCUGCAGCUCCGGGAUCCCGAGCAGCAAAUGGAACUGAACCGGGAGUCGGUCCGAGCGCCUCCCAAUAGAACCAUCUUUGACAGUGACCUGAUAGAUCAUUCAAUAUAUGGCGGCCCUUGCCCUCCAAGCAGCAAUUCGGGCAUCAGCGCCACCUGCUACGGCAGCAACGGCAGGAUGGAAGGGCCGCCUCCCACGUACAGCGAGGUCAUAGGUCAUUUCCCGGGCUCGACGUUUUACCAGCACCAGCAGAACAACAGCGGGAUGCCCUCGAUACUCGAGGGGAGCAGACUCCACUCUUCAUCGCAAAUCAAUAGCCUGGAGAGCACAAUGGCGUGGAACAAAGAUAAAGAGAAGCAAAAAGGGCACCCCUUUUAAAAAAAAGAAAGAACGAGCGAAAGAAAGAAAGAAAGAAUGGAAUAAAACACUCUGCACUUCUUGUCCAUGGGUAGGGGGGGGAGAUAUCGAGCGACGGGGAAGCAGUGUGUACGAAGCGAAACACCCUUCUCCACCUCUGUGUAGUAUAAAUAUUUACAUGUUAUGUUUGGGUCUGAAUGCACAAGCCAACAAAGCUUGCAAAAACAUUUCUUUGUUGAGCUCUGUCUAGAAGUUGUUGUGUUUUGUUUUUUUUAAAAAAGAAAAAUAAGUAAUCUUCAGCAAUCCUUUCCCGCACCCCCCUUUCCCUUAGUUUUGUUUCUAGUCGAGCUGCGUGUGUGAAUGCUACGACUUUUUUUUUUGUUUAUUUCACUUAACUUUAAAGACAAAAAUAUUUGCACAAAAACGUUUGUUUAAAGAUCUGCAAUAUAUAUAUAUAAAUAUAAAUAUAAAUAUAUAUUAAAAAAAAAGAGAAACUGUAUGUGUGUUGGGGAAGCAGGAGUAUUUUUAUAUUAGAAGAGGCCUAUUGAGAAAAAAAAACAGUUUUUGUUGUGUUUUUCUGAACUAGAAUUAAAAACAUGGCAAUUUUUGAGAGCCAACUCAAAAAAGCAUGUAUUACAUUGUAAAAAAAAGAAGAGAGAGUAACAAAAAACUUUUAAAAAAACAAGCAGGGGUUUAGAGUUAUUUAUAUAAAUGUUGAAAUUUUGCACUAUUUUUUAAUAUAAAUGUGUAAGUGCUUGUGUGGGUCAAAAACCUUGUCAUGUCUACCACAAAACUGUUAAGGGAAAGAUGUGGGAAGUGAAGAUUAAAAAGAAUUAUGAGGGAGGGAAUUGCGCCUGUAAGACUGAAAUCACAGACCAGUAAGGAACAUUGUGUAAAGACUGCAUCUCGUACAUUUUUUUUUUACUCUCCAGAGUCAGAUGAAUAUGUCUCAAACCUGAAGUAGUUCUAUGACACCCGACUGCAGGUAGAGUCAGCUACCUGUAAUGAUACCCAGUUACAAAAUUUACAUGUACUGCAAUUAGUUGUGAAGGGUGCAUGUGUGUGUAGGUGUACAGAAU